AGAGUGAACGCUGGCGGCGUGGAUUAGGCAUGCAAGUCGAGCGAUCCCUUGUAAAUGAUGUGGAGGUGCUUGCACCAAAGCUGAUUUUACUUUUGGGGAUAGCGGCAAACGGGUGAGGAACACGUGAGAAAUUUUCCUUAGAGACGAACAUAGCUUCGUGAAAACGGAGGUAAUAUUCGAUACGGCCUUAGAGUCACAUGAUUCUUUGGUUAAAGGUGGGGACCUUCGGGCCUGCCGCUUUAGGAUGAUCUCGCGGCCUAUCAGCUUGUUGGUGGGGUAACGGCCUACCAAGGCAUUUGACGGGUAGCUGGUCUGAGAGGAUGGUCAGCCACACUGGGACUGAGACACUGCCCAGACUCCUACGGGAGGCUGCAGUCGAGAAUCUUUAGCAAUGGACGAAAGUCUGACUAUGCGACGCCGCGUGCAGGAUGAAGGAUUUCGGUUCGUAAACUGCUUUUGUCAGGAAAGAAAAUUUCAGUGUUAAUAGUGCUGAAACUGACGGUACCUGACGAAUAAGCCACGGCCAACUCCGUGCCAGCAGCCGCGGUAAUACGGGGGUGGCAAGCGUUACUCGGAAUUAUUGGGUGUAAAGGGUAAGUAGGCGGUCUAUUAAGUGAGGGGUGAAAUCUUCCGACUCAAUCGGAAAAUUGCCUUUCAAACUAAUAGACUUGAGACUGGAAGAGGGAAAUGGAAUUAGCAGUGUAAGGGUGAAAUCUGUAGAUAUUGCUAAGAACACCAGCGGCGAAGGCGGUUUCCUGGUCCAAGUCUGACGCUAAAUUACGAAAGCUAGGGGAGCAAACAGAAUUAGAUACUCUGGUAGUCCUAGCUGUAAACGAUGAGCACUAGGUGUUGGUCCUUCGGGAUCAGUGCCGCAGCUAACGCAUUAAGUGCUCCACCUGGGGACUACGGCCGCAAGGCUA
rnacentral:rRNA from 1 species